AUUGAACGCUGGCGGCAGGCCUAACACAUGCAAGUCGAACGAGUGGCGGACGGGUGAGUAAUGUCUGGGAAACUGCCUGAUGGAGGGGGAUAACUACUGGAAACGGUAGCUAAUACCGCAUACCAUCAGAUGUGCCAAGAUGGGAUUAGCUUGUUGGUGGGGUAACGGCUCACCAAGGCGACGAUCCCUAGCUGGUCUGAGAGGAGGACCAGCCAAACUGGAACUGAGCCACGGUCCAGAUGCCGACGGGAGGCAGAAGUGGGGAAUAUUGCACAAUGGGCGCAAGCCUGAUGCAGCCAUGCCGCGUGUAUGAAGAAGGCCUUCGGGUUGUAAAGUACUUUCAGCGGGGAGGCGUUACCCGCAGAAGAAGCACCGGCUAACUCCGUGCCAGCAGCCGCGGUAAUAC
rnacentral:rRNA from 1 species